UAAUCCAAUGGGUCACUUCUGUUUACUAUGGUCUCAAGGAUUGUAGUCCUUGACCC
ensembl:misc_RNA